rfam:Triticum aestivum genome assembly, contig: Triticum_aestivum_CS42_TGACv1_scaffold_572809_7AS
AUCAUACCCCCUCCGCCCCAAAAUUCUUGUCUUAGAUUUGUCUAGAUAUGGAUGUAUCAAGUCACGUUUUAGUAUUUUGAUACAUCCGUAUCUAGACAAAUCUAAGACAAGAAUUUUGGGACGGAGGGAGUACUUA